AGAACGAACGCUGGCGGCAUGCCUAAUACAUGCAAGUCGAACGAACUCUUCGGAGUUAGUGGCGCACGGGUGCGUAACGCGUGGGAAUCUGCCCCUUGGUUCGGAAUAACAGUUGGAAACGACUGCUAAUACCGGAUGAUGACGAAAGUCCAAAGAUUUAUCGCCAAGGGAUGAGCCCGCGUAGGAUUAGCUAGUUGGUGAGGUAAAGGCUCACCAAGGCAACGAUCCUUAGCUGGUCUGAGAGGAUGAUCAGCCACACUGGGACUGAGACACGGCCCAGACUCCGUACGGAGGCAGCAGUAGGGAAUAUUGGACAAUGGGCGAAAGC
rnacentral:rRNA from 1 species